GUACGAACGCUGGCGGCGUGCUUAACACAUGCAAGUCGAGCGGUAAGGCCCUUUCGGGGUACGACGAGCGGCGAACGGAUGAGUAACACGUGGUGACCUGCCCUCAGCUCUGGGAUAAGCCUGGGAAACCGGGUCUAAUACUGGAUAUGACUCCAUGACGCAUGUUGUGGGGUGGAAAGCCUUUGUGCGGCUGAGGAUGGGCCCGCGGCCUAUCAGCUUGUUGGUGGGGUGAUGGCCUACCAAGGCGACGACGGGUAGCCGGCCUGAGAGGGCGACCGGCCACACUGGGACUGAGACACGGCCCAGACUCCUACGGGAGGCAGCAGUGGGGAAUCUUGCGCAAAUGGGCGAAAGCCUGACUCAGCGACGCCGCGUGAGGG
rnacentral:rRNA from 1 species